rnacentral:rRNA from 1 species
CGACGGGUGAGUAACGCGUAUCCAACCUUCCCUGUAGUAGAGAAUAGCCCGGCGAAAGUCGGAUUAAUGCUCUAUGUUGUAUUUCGAUGACAUCUGAAGAAUACCAAAGGUUUACCGCUAUAGGAUGGGGAUGCGUCUGAUUAGGUUGUUGGCGGGGUAACGGCCCACCAAGCCCACGAUCAGUAGGGGUUCUGAGAGGAACGGUCCCCCACAUUGGAACUGAGACACGGUCCAAACUCCUACGGGAGGCAGCAGUGAGGAAUAUUGGUCAAUGGACGGAAGUCUGAACCAGCCAAGUAGCCGUGCAGGAUGACCGGCCCUAGUGGGUUAGUAAACUGUCUUUUAUAUAGGGAUAAGUCGGGGACGUGUCCCCGUUUGUAGGUACUAUAUGAAUAAGGACCGGCUAAUUCCGUGCCAGCAGCAGC